AUUGAACGCUGGCGGAAUGCUUUACACAUGCAAGUCGAACGGCAGCACGGACUUCGGUCUGGUGGCGAGUGGCGAACGGGUGAGUAAUACAUCGGAACGUGCCCAGUCGUGGGGGAUAACGUAGCGAAAGCUACGCUAAUACCGCAUACGAUCUAAGGAUGAAAGCGGGGGAUCGCAAGACCUCGCGCGAUUGGAGCGGCCGAUGGCAGAUUAGGUAGUUGGUAGGGUAAAGGCCUACCAAGCCGACGAUCUGUAGCUGGUCUGAGAGGACGACCAGCCACACUGGGACUGAGACACGGCCCAGACUCCUACGGGAGGCAGCAGUGGGGAAUUUUGGACAAUGGACGCAAGUCUGAUCCAGCCAUUCCGCGUGCAGGAUGAAGGCCCUCGGGUUGUAAACUGCUUUUGUACAGAACGAAAAGGCUCUGGUUAAUACCUGGAGCUCAUGACGGUACUGUAAGAAUAAGCACCGGCUAACUACGUGCCAGCAGCCGCCGUAA
rnacentral:rRNA from 1 species